GAGAAUGCUAUCAGAGGAAGCAUUUCCCAGAGAAGAGCGGCCAAAUGUGGGUUCAAAGCGGAUAGGAUUAAUACUGCCAGGUUUCGGACCACUAGCCCCUUGGCUUCGCCGGCAAUUGGGUCGCCUUGUAUAACUACUCCGCCCGGGAUUAGCCCCACUGCGCUACUCGGUUCGCCGAUUAUGUUGCCUAAUUCUCAGAUAAAGUUCUCUUUUUUUUUUUUUGCCGAUCAUUUUGAUUUGCAAUUUUUCUUGG
rnacentral:misc_RNA from 1 species